AGUGAACGCUGGCGGUAGGCCUAACACAUGCAAGUCGAACGGCAGCACAGUAAGAGCUUGCUCUUACGGGUGGCGAGUGGCGGACGGGUGAGGAAUACAUCGGAAUCUACUUUUUCGUGGGGGAUAACGUAGGGAAACUUACGCUAAUACCGCAUACGACCUACGGGUGAAAGCAGGGGAUCUUCGGACCUUGCGCGAUUGAAUGAGCCGAUGUCGGAUUAGCUAGUUGGCGGGGUAAAGGCCCACCAAGGCGACGAUCCGUAGCUGGUCUGAGAGGAUGAUCAGCCACACUGGAACUGGGACACGGUCCAGACUCCUACGGGAGGCAGCAGUGGGGAAUAUUGGACAAAGGGCGCAAGCCUGAUCCAGCCAUACCGCGUGGGUGGAGAAGGCCUUCGGGUUGUAAAGCCCUUUUGUUGGGAAAGAAAAGCAGCAGGUUAAUACCCCGCUGUUCUGACGGUACCCAAAGAAUAAGCACCGGCUAACUUCGUG
rnacentral:rRNA from 1 species